CAGCCAUGCCGCGUGCGUGAGAAGGCCUUCGGGUUGUAAAGCGCUUUUGUUGGGAAAGAAAUCCAGCCGGCUAAUACCUGGUUGGGAUGACGGUACCCAAAGAAUAAGCACCGGCUAACUUCGUGCCAGCAGCCGCGGUAAUACGAAGGGUGCAAGCGUUACUCGGAAUUACUGGGCGUAAAGCGUGCGUAGGUGGUCGUUUAAGUCCGUUGUGAAAGCCCUGGGCUCAACCUGGGAACUGCAGUGGAUACUGGGCGACUAGAGUGUGGUAGAGGGGAGUGGAAUUCCUGGUGUAGCAGUGAAAUGCGUAGAGAUCAGGAGGAACAUCCAUGGCGAAGGCAGCUACCUGGACCAACACUGACACUGAGGCACGAAAGCGUGGGGAGCAAACAGGAUUAGAUACCCUGGUAGUCCACGCCCUAAACGAUGCGAACUGGAUGUUGGGUGCAAUUUGGCACGCAGUAUCAAGCUAACGCGUUAAUUCGCCGCCUGGGGAUACGGUCGCAAGACUGAACUCAAUGAAUUGACGG
rnacentral:rRNA from 1 species